AUUCUUAUAAUUUAAAUUCUUAUUAUUUAAAGAAUAAACCACUUUAAACCCAGGGGUUGAAGAGAAUGAGAGAAGUAACGGUUGAAUGAAAAUGGCAACCGAUUUAUGGCAGAAAGGAGGCAGAUGGAGAGGGGUGAGGCCUUAAAGGAGCAGCCGAACUGCCACCUACAUAGCAGGACGUUGGCUGCGCUCGCGGCUCUCAGAGCAUCUCCAACUCAAUGUGGAGGAAUCUGGUGCCACCGAGAAUGGGGUGACAGUGGGAUCGCACACACGCAGAGGCAGAUGCCUGGACUGUGCGUGCUGAUUCCUGCUGGGCCCCUGGCUGAUUCUGCUCCGCAAUGAAUGCGGCCCGCGUACCCACUCCCACUCGAGACCCUGAAGGACUGUGUGGAUGGAAAAGCUCAAACUCCGAGUCCAGAUCCUAACAGCUAAUGCUAUUGAGUACUUCCAUAUGCUGAUUACUGUGCAAGUUGCCUUCCACAUUAUUCCAUGGAGUCUUCACAAAAUCUCUAGAGGGGAACUAAAACAUGACUAUUGGAAUUACAGGAGUGGAGGAAAAUCGAGGAGAUUUUUGAAAGCCGAGGGCGAAUCUAGCAGACAUGUAGCAAAUUGACCUCUGUAACAAUCAAGGAGACAACAGAAGGAAAGUAAGCACUAAUUGGGCUCCAGUUCUGUCUCAAGCGCUCAGCUGGACUAGGUUGCCAUGGUUGGUAAAUAAAACACAGUCUUUGGGACCCUGAUUCCAAAUAAUGAAAAGUAUCUCAUAGCAGAUUAAAUACUCAAGGUCUGGAAAUUUUUAAAUAGCAUUAUUUAAAGCCAGAACAUAAACUGGAGUAACAAAUUCAAUGCUAGUCAGCUCAGCAUCAUUUGUGGGGAAAUACCAGGAACGGUUGUGAAGGGAACAACUUGAUAAACGUUAAGGUAAUUUGAUUAGAAACAUGCAAUAUAUGCUUCUGAUGGGAGAAGAUAUUCUAACAGCUCACUGGUUGGCUUCCUUUGAAGUCAUUUACUGCCAUGGUUUCUGAGUUUAGACCAACAUCCCUCCUGUUAACGAUAAUGGAUUAGGAGCACUAACCAUACGAUAGCUAAUAGCUUAAGAUUUUUUUUCAAGUGUGGAGGUAGAACAAAGAAUAAAAAUGAUGGAAAUAUAAUGUUGAAGGUGAAAGAGACAGUAAGGAGGGAUAUAUAGCUUAAAUCUGAGAACCCCCCAGGUAAAAUGUGUAUUUUUAAAUUUCCACAGAGUUUGCAUUUGGAAUAUAUACAGGUAUCUGCAUCUUUUCAAGAACACUGUAUGGAAAACAAAACUUAUUGCAAAAGUUUUUUUUCAUCGGUUGAUAAUAUGAAGCAAUAUUAGGCAAAUGGAUACAUUCUAGUAGGACUGCAGUUAUAUUUGCGAUGUCUAUCUGGGAAUUUAAAAAUGAUGAUGCUCAAGGAAAGAAUGCAAACUGAUCUAGCCAAGUGCUGAUCCCACAAUAGAAGCUUCAUAGGUAAUUCUUGGAUUAAUCAAGGAAUAUUCUCCAGGCCACACAGCUCAUCAAAAUAAUACAGACCGUCAGCUUCUUAUUUCUCUAUGAAGAAAAAAAGCACACAGUGAAUUCCCUCCAUGUAAAUGUUUGUGAGAUGCUAAGCAUCUUCCUGAAGAACUAUGGGACUUACCUCCUAUUGCCUAUUUCUUUUUUUUAAGUUUAUUAAUUUAUUUUGAGAGAGAGAGAGAGAGUGAGCAGGGGAGGGCAGAGAGAAAGGGAGAGAGAGAGAGAGAGAG